rnacentral:rRNA from 1 species
UACGAAGGGGGCUAGCGUUGUUCGGAAUUACUGGGCGUAAAGCGUGCGCAGGCGGUGAUGUAAGACAGAUGUGAAAUCCCCGGGCUCAACCUGGGAACUGCAUUUGUGACUGCAUCGCUGGAGUGCGGCAGAGGGGGAUGGAAUUCCGCGUGUAGCAGUGAAAUGCGUAGAUAUGCGGAGGAACACCGAUGGCGAAGGCAAUCCCCUGGGCCUGCACUGACGCUCAUGCACGAAAGCGUGGGGAGCGAAACAGG